rnacentral:rRNA from 1 species
CCUACGGGUGACAGCAGUGGGGAAUAUUGCACAAUGGGCGCGAGCCUGAACCAGCCAAGUCGCGUGAGGGAAGACGGUCCUAUGGAUUGUAAACCUCUUUUGUCGGGGAGCAAAAGACGCCACGCGUGGCGUUCCGAGAGUACCCGAAGAAAAAGCAUCGGCUAACUCCGUGCCAGCAGCCGCGGUAAUACGGAGGAUGCGAGCGUUAUCCGGAUUUAUUGGGUUUAAAGGGUGCGCAGGCGGAAGAUCAAGUCAGCGGUAAAAUUGAGAGGCUCAACCUCUUCGAGCCGUUGAAACUGGUUGUCUUGAGUGAGCGAGAAGUAUGCGGAAUGCGUGGUGUAGCGGUGAAAUGCAUAGAUAUCACGCAGAACUCCGAUUGCGAAGGCAGCAUACCGGCGCUCAACUGACGCUCAUGCACGAAAGUGUGGGUAUCCAACAGGAUUAGAUACCCUAGUAGUC